UACGAAGGGGGCUAGCGUUGCUCGGAUUGACUGGGCGUAAAGGGCGCGUAGGCGGAUAGUACAGUCAGGCGUGAAAUUCCUGGGCUCAACCUGGGGGCUGCGUUUGAUACGUGUUGUCUGGAGUUCGGAAGAGGGUCGUGGAAUUCCCCAGUGUAGAGGUGAAAUUCGUAGAUAUUUGGGAAGAACACCGGUGGCGAAGGCGGCGACCUGGUCCGAUACUGACGCUGAGGCGCGAAAGCGUGGGGAGCAAACAGG
rnacentral:rRNA from 1 species